rfam:Triticum aestivum genome assembly, contig: Triticum_aestivum_CS42_TGACv1_scaffold_526359_6DL
UGGAUAAAUCCUUAAUACUUGUCAUCAAAAUGGAUAAAAGGGGAUGUAUCUAGACAUAUUUUAGUUCUAGAUACAUCUUUUUUUAUCCAUUUUGAUGACAAGUAUUUUCGGACGGAGGGAAUACCAC